AGCUUUCUGAAUCCGUGCAGAGAUUUCGUCAGAUAUCAACACAUUAGGACUGAUCAGACUUCAAAGAAAAGUGAAAUU
rfam:Schistosoma curassoni strain Dakar, Senegal genome assembly, scaffold: SCTD_contig0025369